GACGUAGGGCGCAAGCGUUGUCCGGAUUUAUUGGGCGUAAAGAGCUCGUAGGCGGCUCAUUGCGUCGGCUGUGAAAACCCGCAGCUCAACUGUGGGCCUGCAGCCGAUACGGGCGGGCUAGGAUUCGGUAGGGGAGACUGGAAUUCCUGGUGUAGCGGUGAAAUGCGCAGAUAUUAGGAGGAACACCGGUGGCGAAGGCGCUGCUCUGGGCCGAAACUGAACGCUGAGGAGCGAAAGCGUGGGUAGCAA
rnacentral:rRNA from 1 species